rnacentral:rRNA from 1 species
AUGUUGGCUCAGCAUUUACUUGCAGGUGCUGACAAGUAUAGACUGGACAGGCUCAAGGAGAUCUGCGAAGGCAAGCUAUCUGAUGGCAUCAGUGUCGACACAGCAGCAACUACUCUGGCAUUAGCAGAGCAGCACAACUGCCCGCAGCUCAAGGUGAAAUGUGUCGACUUCAUCGUUAGCACUCCUGCAAUUCUUGAUGCUGUGUUGGCGACGGAUGGAUAUAAGCAUCUGGAAGCAAGCUGUCCUAUGGUGUUGCCUGAGCUUCUUAAAUCUGCGGGGCAGAAAGAGUUGACUGGUGACCGUAAGGGUGCUAAAGGUUUGAUCUCUUCGUGA